AUCCGGAGGAUCCGAGCGUUAUCCGGAUUUAUUGGGUUUAAAGGGUGCGCAGGCGGCCAUUUAAGUCAGCGGUUAAAUCGUGGGGCUCAACCCCAUUCUGCCGUUGAUCAUGGGUGGCUUGCUUGCGUUCGAGGUUGGCGGAAUUCGUUGUGUAGCGGGGAAAUGCAUAGAUAUGACGAAGAACACCGAUUGCGUAGGCAGCUGACCAGACCGCAAAUGACGCUCAUGCACGAAAGUGCGGGGAUCGAACAGGAUUAGAUACCCUGGUAGUCCGCACAGUAAACGAUGAAUACUUGUUUUCGGCGAUAUAAUGUCGGAGGCAAAGCGAAAGCGAUAAGUAUUCCACCUGGGGAGUACGCCGGCAACGGUGAAACUCAAAUGAAUUGGCGGGG
rnacentral:rRNA from 1 species